rnacentral:lncRNA from 1 species
GUUUUAACCGUUUCAUAGAUUUUAAUACAGAAUCAUCCCAUUGCUUGUACAAGGGGAGUCUACUUGUCGUCAGCUUCUAAAGGGAUCUUUAUUGGUUGAAUCACUGCAAAUUGUAAAGUGUGUUUAUUGGCACGAUGCAGACUGGGAAACAAACCCAAUUGUUGCCUCCCUCGGGCAUCUUGCGCCGGCAACAGUUUUUGGCACCCAACGUGGGGCUCGAGGCUAACAUUUCGCCUUGCCCGGAUCCCUCCUGGGGUCGACAACUUGCGGCAACAACCGAUGCCCAGCACGCACCGUUGGUUUCAUCGGGGGCCUUGGCGGAGAUGUGGUUUGAUUAACUCCGGAGGGCACAACGGUGCAACGCGCUCAAAUAGUGGAAAAGUGAUCGUGGGCGACGGUGUGGAACCGGUCCCUCGGACAAGGUUCUGUACAGUGGAAUGGCCUCAAUAUCAACUGGAGGAUCAGGAAAGGUGGCCUCCGGAAGGGUCAAUUAACUAUAAUACAAUCCUCCAAUUACUCCUGUUUUGUCAGCGGACGGAUUGCCCAACACCCCUGCUAGGACGAGACCUGCUUUGUCGAUUAGGUGCAUCACUGCAUUUUACCCAGGAUGAAAUAACCCUCACAUUGCCCCCUGAAAAUGCAUGGAUAAUGACCCUCGCGGUUGAACAUCCCCAUCAGGGAAAUUA